UGGGCAACCUGCCCCUAGCUCUGGGAUAACUGCGGGAAACUGUAGCUAAUACCGGAUGUGACACGAGGCUGCAUGGUCUUCGUGUGGAAAGAUUUAUCGGCUAGGGAUGGGCCCGCGGUCUAUCAGCUUGUUGGUGGGGUAAUGGCUCACCAAGGCGACGACGGAUAACCGGCCUGAGAGGGCGACCGGCACACUGGGACUGAGACACGCACGACUACCUACCGGGUAACGGGGA
rnacentral:rRNA from 1 species